UCUUGCUUCCUCUCUCUGCUCUCUGCUAUGUGAGGACACAAAAAGAUGGCCAUCUGCAAACCAGAAGGGUGUCUUUACCACCAAUCCAACCAUGCUGACACCCUGAUCUCAGACUUCCAGCCUCCAGAACUUCUCCCAACCAGGAUACAUUUCCUAUCAUCCUGUGAAGUUAGAUGAAGCCAUUUGAUGGGGUUCUGCAUCCCCCAUGAAGUGGCGCUGAAAGAUCACGUUAGCACAGUUCCAUGAUGUGAAAUACCGCAAGUCUGCAAUUCUUCGGUCUUGAGAGUGUCGCCGGGCUGAGAGGAUGGAAAUCUUUCAGUCAGGUGACACUACAAUUGCCCUUUGGAACACUAACCAGAAAUGCUCUUAUAUGAAAUUCUGUCGACCAAAACUUAUGUUUCCCAGGCCCUUCUGCACAUCAAUAGUGCAAUGGCAGCUUGUGAUGAUGAUACUAAAGGCAUUCAAACAAGGUUGGGUUCUUCAGAGGAAGAUACUCUAAUGAGGAUUCUUGUGAAAGUGAUUUGUUAGAAAGCAUUCCUGGGGAAAACUAGUGGGAACUUAGAAGGAUGCAAGGAUCCAGGAAUGACUUCACCUUGGAAGAAAGUGGAGUAAUUUAUGAGAGGGAAAAUGAGAUAACCCUUUCCUAACGGAGCAUUUACCAAUUCACAGUUUCUGUCGUGGAGUUGAUGGGUCCACGGUACUGGUCAAGAUAUUCUGUG